rnacentral:rRNA from 1 species
AUUGAACUGAAGAGUUUGAUCAUGGCUCAGAUUGAACGCUGGCGGAGGCCUAACACAUGCAAGUUCGAGCGGAUGAAGGGAGCUUGCUCCUGG